AGUGAACGCUGGCGGUAGGCCUAACACAUGCAAGUCGAACGGCAGCACAGUAAGAGCUUGCUCUUACGGGUGGCGAGUGGCGGACGGGUGAGGAAUACAUCGGAAUCUACUUUUUCGUGGGGGAUAACGCAGGGAAACUUACGCUAAUACCGCAUACGACCUACGGGUGAAAGCAGGGGAUCUUCGGACCUUGCGCGAUUGAAUGAGCCGAUGUCGGAUUAGCUAGUUGGCGGGGUAAAGGCCCACCAAGGCGACGAUCCGUAGCUGGUCUGAGAGGAUGAUCAGCCACACUGGAACUGAGACACGGUCCAGACUCCUACGGGAGGCAGCAGUGGGGAAUAUUGGACAAAGGGCGCAAGCCUGAUCCAGCCAUACCGCGUGGGUGAAGAAGGCCUUCGGGUUGUGAAGCCCUUUUGUUGGGAAAGAAAAGCAGCAGGUUAAUACCCCGCUGUUCUGACGGUACCCAAAGAAUAAGCACCGGCUAACUUCGUG
rnacentral:rRNA from 1 species